rnacentral:rRNA from 1 species
AUUGAACGCUGGCGGCAGGCUUAACACAUGCAAGUCGAGCGGGGUGAUGGUGCUUGCACUAUCACUUAGCGGCGGACGGGUGAGUAAUGCUUAGGAAUCUGCCUAUUAGUGGGGGACAACAUCUCGAAAGGGAUGCUAAUACCGCAUACGUCCUACGGGAGAAACAAGGGGAUCACUUGUGACCUUGCGCUAAUAGAUGAGCCUAAGUCGGAUUAGCUAGUUGGUGGGGUAAAGGCCUACCAAGGCGACGAUCUGUAGCGGGUCUGAGAGGAUGAUCCGCGACGCUGGGAUGGGGACACGGCACAGACUGCUACGGGAGGAAGCAGUGGGGAAUAUUGGACAAUGGGGGGAACCCUGAGCCAGCCAUGCCGCGGGUGUGAAGAAGGCCUUAUGGUUGUAAAGCACUGUAAGCGAGGAGGAGGCUCUUUUGGUUAAUACCCAAGAUGAGUGGACGUUACUCGCAGAAUAAGCACCGGCUAACUCUGUGCCAGCCGCCGCCGUAACAC